rnacentral:tRNA from 2 species
GGCCCUGUGGUCAAGCGGUUAAGACACCGCCCUUUCACGGCGGUAACAGGGGUUCGAGUCCCCUCAGGGUCACCA